AACAUGGCGGAGAGCAGGGGAAUGGAUGUGUGGACAGCUGACGCAUAUGUUGUGGCUACCUGGUUACCUCCAAAUAAUUUGGACCCAUCACUGUCUUUUCCAGAUCACAUUGCAUUCAAAGAUGCUAUUGUCUUUCCUGCUUGGAAGCCAGGACACUGGAUGUUGUGUGUAAGUUAUAUGGAAUUUGGUUACUAAAUAUAUAAUUGCAUCUGUAAAUUGCCUUCAUUUGUCUUGUCACAAUUCAAAAUUACCAUUGCACUAUUGCAACCUACUAACACACUGUUUUCCAGGUAAUGAAGCCAAAAGAUAGACAAAUCUACUUCUUAGAUUCAACCAAUCCCUAUGGGUUGGGUGAUGAGUGCUAUGUGCACAUUUUCAGGUUGCUUAAAUGUGAAAAUGUUCAUGGUUCGCUGUUCAUAAGGUUUGCCUUCAAAUGUUCAAAAUGUUGGCUUAAUGGUUAUUUGGAUGUUUGCAUGAUGUUCUGAAUUUGCAUGUGUGUGACAAUUGUUUUAUUUUCUGAAAGGCCCAGUUACUGGGGGCUACUGUUUUUGCAGAUUUUCUUUGUAUUCAUACUCUUUCAUAUGAACUUUGUUGUUAUUAUUUGUGUAUUUUUGUUUCAGUAAGAUGACAGCUAAAAUUGCACCUGGCACAUGGAUGCUACUAAAAAACAAGGAUGUCCCCCAACAGAUUGGCUAUGUGGACUGUGGAGUCUUCAUGUUGAUGGUAAGGCAAAUCAUGUUUUGCUAUAAAUAAACUAAUGCUUGCCUUCCAAUUUAAUGUAUUGACAGUAUCAGUUUGUUUCUUCUGGGAUCCCUAAACAAUGGCAUUGCUAUCUUUCAUCUUUCAAACUCCUUAUGCCCCAUUUUAAUUAUGAUUUGACUUUUUCUUAAAUUUUGCUGGGU